rnacentral:lncRNA from 1 species
UUUUUUCCUAUUUAAUUCAUCUUUUUUACUUUAUGUAUUGGUUAUAAGAAAUGAUUCUUGCCUGACAACCAUUAUUUCAUGUCAGCUUUCAGAAAAAUUAAGGCAUCCAAAAUCUAGUCAGUUCCCCUGUCUCCCCUUUUGGUCCUAUGGGUCUUUACCUACAUUAGUAACUGUUCCUCUGGCGAUUAAUUUAUUAAUGUGCCCGAGAGGCUAGUUCCAGUCCAUCAGUUUAGACACUGACUUCCAAGCUGGUCGUCCCGGGCUUCCAUUCACCGAACAGCCGUAUUUCCAUUUGUUCUAUUGAUUAUCUUUGCUUCUGGGUAAACCCCUCCCUCCAAGUUGUUGUUGUUAUUGUUGUUGUUUGUUUCAUUCCAAAGGCAGGAAGUCCUCUCUCCCCUCUGCGAAGUAAGAUUAUCAGUGCCCCCUAUUUUCCCCUGCGGCUCUCCUCUGUCCGGCGAAAGGGGAUGUUUUGGGAUAAAUUUUCUGUGUCUGAGGUGAGGGGAGGAAGCAGACGGGAUAGUGAUGGUGAUGCAUGUGUUAUAAGCAAAGGCAUCUGUGUUCACAGCGUUUCAAUCAAUCCCAGACCGUCGGGACUGCUUCCCACCGAGGUUGUGAUUUUAGAUCCAGUCCCUUCUUCCUCCCAGUAGGAAGGAGUAGUGUCGCUGAAGUUUUGCACAAAGAAAAUGAAAAUCAUGUUCAGGGGCGAAGCCUGCGCACGACAGUCAGUUUCCACGCCCACCCCCACCCUCCGCCACGCGCGGGCCCAGGUCCCGGGAGGCGGCGGAGAGUCCCUCCCGCGCGGUAGUCUCCGGGCGCAGAAGGCAUUGGAAGCCCAGGGCGCCGCGCUCCGCUUGCGCGGAACCGCGCUCCGGCUGCUCCUAAUUCAGAGGGCAUUUCAACCAGACCCCGAAGUGACUCAACCUAGAAGGUUACAUCCAGGCAUUUCCGGUAGUAUGACAUCGGAGAAUUCACAGCCUUCUAAAUCUUUUGAGUCCCUCAACCUUCCAUAAGCCAGUAAUUAUCAAAGCAAGCUGCACAGUACAUUCAGUCUUUGAGAAAAAAGAUCUCCCUCUAAGAGAUUCUCACCAAAUGGUUUGGCCUAAAAAUUCCCACUGAAUAAAGUAUAACUCUCAACUUUGAGGUUGUGACUA